UUCGACUAGGGGGUCAUCCCGACUUACCAACUCGAUGCAAACUACGAAUACCGAAGAAUGUUAUCACGGGAGACACACGGCGGGUGCUAACGUUCGUCGUGAAGAGGGAAACAACCCAGACCGCCAGCUAAGGUCCCAAAGUCAUAGUUAAGUGGGAAACGAAGUGGGAAGGCUCAGACAGCCAGGAUGUUGGCUUAGAAGCAGCCAUCAUUUAAAGAAAGCGUAAUAGCUCACUGGUCGAGUCGGCCUGCGCGGAAGAUGUAACGGGGCUAAACUAUGCACCGAAGCUGCGGCAGCGAACGUAUCACUUAAACUGAUUAAGUGAUACUCAAAUGUAUCAAAACGAUUGACGGAGCGAAGCGACGUCAAUGCGUCCAACAAAGUCGAGGCGGAAACGUCAGGCAGUCAGUUUAAGGAUACGUUCGUUGGGUAGGGGAGCGUUCUGUAAGCCUGUGAAGGUGUGCUGUGAGGCAUGCUGGAGGUAUCAGAAGUGCGAAUGCUGACAUAAGUAACGAUAAUGCGGGUGAAAAACCCGCACGCCGGAAGACCAAGGGUUCCUGUCCAACGUUAAUCGGGGCAGGGUGAGUCGACCCCUAAGGCGAGGCAGAAAUGCGUAGUCGAUGGGAAACGGGUUAAUAUUCCCGUACUGGUGAUAAUUGCGAUGGGGGGACGGAGAAGGCUAGGCUAUCCGGGCGACGGUUGUCCCGGUUUAAGGAUGUAGGCAGGUGAAUUAGGCAAAUCCGGUUCACUAUAUGCUGAGGUCCGACGACGAGUCACUACGGUGAUGAAGUAGCUCAUGCCCCGCUUCCAGGAAAAGCCUCUAAGCUCUAGAUUAUCAUUAAUCGUACCCCAAACCGACACAGGUGGUCAGGUAGAGAAUACUCAGGCGCUUGAGAG
rnacentral:rRNA from 1 species